rnacentral:lncRNA from 1 species
GCCCCUGGGAAAUAUACUACGGAGCCAUACCAUGGAAUUCCACUCUUAUGCUGACGAUACCCAAAUGUACCUAAGAACUGCACCUGACAAACACCUGGCUCUUUCCCGGACUACUAAAUGCCUGGAUGACAUCCAGCGCUGGAUGAGCAACAACUCCCUUCAGCUCAAUGGCAGCAAGUCAGAGGCCAUUCUUAUUGGCACCCCUUAUCAAACUAAAAAGGCCAGCAUCACCCACAUCACCAUAAAUGGUCACCCCACCCCUCUCUCCUCACUCGUCACAAACCUGGGUGUCAAGCUGGACUCAUUAUUGUCCUUAGAUGAACACAUUAAAUCCAUCUGCCAAACUUCAUUUUACCACCUGAGAAACAUCUCAAGGCUGAGACCCUCUCUACCGAAACAUGCUGCAGAAAAGCUGGUGCACGCAUUCAUCAGCUCCCGACUUGACUACUGCAACUCUCUGCUGGCAGGUCUACCAGCGAAAACCAUUCAGAGGCUGCAGUAUGUUCAGAACAGUGCUGCCCGGGUUCUCACUCGGACAAGGAAAUCAGAACACAUCACCCCAGUCCUCUACUCCCUCCACUGGCUUCCAAUCAACCAAAGAAUAAUUUUCAAAGUCCUUCUCCUAGUUCACAAGGCCAUAAACAAUACCGGCCCAACCUACCUCCAGGACCUCCUCACCCCUCAUUUCACAUCAAGGACACUUAGGUCCGGAAACUCAAACCUCCUUGCAGUUCCCCGGACAAAAUUUACUAAAAUGGGAGAUCGUGCCUUCUCCUCACUGGGGCCACGACUCUGGAACAACCUCCCGGAGAACAUUAGGGCCUUAGAUUCCCUCACUGCUUUUAAAUCACACCUCAAAACCCAUUUAUUUAUCUCUGCCUUCACCUAAAGUCCUGGGGUACGUUCGUCGUAGGAUUGAAGCUAAGUUAAUCAAUUGGCCUUUUAGCCCGUUAAGAUUAGCGAGCUGAUUGAGAACAGCAAAUAUCGGUUCGUUAACGGCUGACCCGCAUCCUAAUCAUGUGGUUAAUUUCAAGCAGGCUAAAGUUAUCAUGGCAUUUGCGCGUGCACGUCCUACUUCAAAAGGCAGGAAAGGUCGAUCACCAAAACCAUGAUUUUCUAACGGUAUAAUGGUUCUAAACUCAAAGAAAAGGGCUCUUUUUUUCUCCGCUGGCGAGUAGGAGAUGAACAUGAACGCUUAUGAAGAAUACAAGACCAUAAUCAUGGCAAAAUUCAACACCACCACCGCUGUGAGAGCAAGGUGUGUUGGGAUGUUUAUAGGGUGA